CGGUUAAGUUAGAAAGGGCGCACGGUGGAUGCCUUGGCACUAGGAGCCGAUGAAGGACGGGACGAACACCGAUAUGCUUCGGGGAGCUGUAAGCAAGCUUUGAUCCGGAGAUUUCCGAAUGGGGAAACCCACCACUCGUAAUGGAGUGGUAUCCAUAUCUGAAUUCAUAGGAUAUGAGAAGGCAGACCCGGGGAACUGAAACAUCUAAGUACCCGGAGGAAGAGAAAGCAAAUGCGAUUCCCUGAGUAGCGGCGAGCGAAACGGGAUUAGCCCAAACCAAGAGGCUUGCCUCUUGGGGUUGUAGGACACUCUGUACGGAGUUACAAAGGAACGAGGUAGAUGAAGAGGUCUGGAAAGGCCCGCCAUAG
rnacentral:rRNA from 1 species